AUUGAACGCUGGCGGAAUGCUUUACACAUGCAAGUCGAGCGGCAGCGCGGGGCAACCUGGCGGUGAGCGGCGAACGGGUGAGUAAUGUAUCGGAACGUGUCCUGUCGUGGGGGAUAGCCCGGUGAAAACCGGAUUAAUACCGCAUACGAUCGAGAGAUGAAAGUGGGGGACCGCAAGGCCUCACGCGAUAGGAGCGGCCGAUAUCUGAUUAGCUAGUUGGUGGGGUAAAGGCCCACCAAGGCGACGAUCAGUAGCUGGUCUGAGAGGAUGAUCAGCCACACUGGGACUGAGACACGGCCCAGACUCCUACGGGAGGCAGCAGUGGGGAAUUUUGGACAAUGGGGGCAACCCUGAUCCAGCCAUUCCGCGUGAGUGAAGAAGGCCUUCGGGUUGUAAAGCUCUUUUGUCCGGGAAGAAACGGUUUCACCUAAUACGUGAGACUACUGACGGUACCGGAAGAAUAAGGACCGGCUAACUACGUGCCAGCCGCCGCAGUAAUAC
rnacentral:rRNA from 1 species